rnacentral:lncRNA from 1 species
GCGCUCCAGGGCGGGCUUGGAAAUGGAGACAAACUCCUCCGAGCCGUUAAGGCUCAGCCGGACAGGGCUUAGGAGUCCCGAGCCCAGUCCUGUUCACCCCCAUUUUAUAGAAAGGGAAACUGAGGCCCAGACAGGGGAAAGUCACUUGCCGAGGUGUUUGCUGCAGACUGCGUUGACCGAACCUGCUUUUUCACAGCAGUCAGACAGCAAGCCCUCCCGUCCCUCCAGGACCCUAGUUCCUGGGGAGGAAGGCGUUCUCAGCGAUAAUGACCAGCAUUAAAGUGCUCCCCGUUACCGGCGUCACUGCCCCAGCCAGUGGAGGCCCCGGAGAGGGACUGAAGAUGUGUCACCUAACUUCUCUGAACCUUCCUCCCUCAAGGAGAACUGAUAAUCCCUAACUCACAGUUCUGUGAGGAUUGAAUGCCUUAAGCAUGCAGGUUAAGUGGCUACUGAAGGCAGUUUUUGUGGACAGGUGAUUUGGGAGCCUGGAGGAAGGGUUACGUGCGCGCGCGUGUGUGCGUGUGUGUGUGCGUGUGUGUAAGAAUCUUUCCGUGAGAGGACAUCUGAGGUGCCUUAGGAGAGUAGGAGUGGACAACAGCAUCCAGGCAGAAGGAGCAGCAUGUAGGUGAAGUCACAGGCUGGUGAGAUCCUGACAAGUUCAUGUGGGCCAAGGGAAGCCAUUUCCAGAACCAGCUGGGGUCUGGGUUUUGUUCUUGCCCUUUCCUGCUACUCCAGCAAGCCGGGGGACUGGGGCCAGCUUGCCACUGGCAUGGCCUAGAUUCCCCAGUGAGCUGGGGGUGACUAACUCUCUUCCCAGCCCAAGGAUAGAAGGUGGAGCAGCCUGGCCGGCAGGGAUCUGAAGCCCAGAGAGAGGAAGCCACUGGCUCCAAGUCACAGAGCAGAAACUGGUCCCAGCGUCAGAUCUGCGAUGCUGCCCAGGCAUGGUGGUGACCCUCUCUAAACAAGCACACUCAGAAUUUCCCUGGCUCGGCUGGGCGACUCAGAAGAAAACUGGCCAUCAGCUUCUGCCUCAAGCGGGUGCUGUGGCAAGGAAGACAGAGCAUGUGUGUUGUGAACACUCAUUAGAGGAUCAUCCCUGCUGUGCCAGGUGCCAUGGCGCUGGAUGCAGAAAGCAGGACACAUGGAAAGAUGGUGUGUUCACAAAGAAUUUGGAAGAAAGCCAGAUGGUGACAAGAGUGUGUCUCUGAAUGCCCCUUUUGGGGGUCACUAAAAAUGCCCCAGGGUUUUUAGUUAGACCAAAAAGGAGGCUUCAAAGAGAUGACUUCUGAGCCGGGUUGUGAUACAUCUAGGAUGUCAACAGGCAGAGAAAGGGCAGGGACUGGGAGUAAGGAAAGAACAUCUGUUCAAGGCAAAACACUGAUUACCAAAGUUUCUAUCAUCCUUAUGUUGACAACGGACAUAAUUUUAACCUUUUGUAUAAGCCAGACUGUAAAGGAUUAUUAGCAGAAUAAAAGCAUCUAUUGGGCCUGGUGCAGUGGCUCACGCCUGUAAUCCAAGCACUUUGGGAGG